rnacentral:rRNA from 1 species
GAUGAACGCUGGCGGCGUGCCUAAUACAUGCAAGUCGAGCGAACAGACGAGGAGCUUGCUCCUCUGACGUUAGCGGCGGACGGGUGAGUAACACGUGGAUAACCUACCUAUAAGACUGGGAUAACUUCGGGAAACCGGAGCUAAUACCGGCUAAUAUCUUGAACCGCAUGGUUCCAUAGUGAAAGACGGUUUUGCUGUCACUUAUAGAUGGAUCCGCGCCGGAUUAGCUAGUUGGUAGGGUAACGGCUUACCAAGGCAACGAUGCGUAGCCGACCUGAGAGGGUGAUCAGCCACACUGGAACUGAGACACGGUCCAGACUCCUACGGGAGGCAGCAGUAGGGAAUCUUCCGCAAUGGGCGAAAGCCUGACGGAGCAACGCCGCGUGAGUGAUGAAGGUCUUCGGAUCGUAAAGCUCUGUUAUUAGGGAAGAACAAAUGUGUAAGUAACUAUGCACGUCUUGACGGUACCUAAUCAGAAAGCCACGGCUAACUACGUG